rnacentral:rRNA from 1 species
AGGGUUUGAUCCUGGCUCAGGGUUAACGCUGGCGGCGUGCCUUACACAUGCAAGUCGAACGGGGCAUACAGCGAUGUAUGCUUAGUGGCGAACGGGUGAGGAAGACGCAGGGACCUACCGAGCAGAGGGGGAUACCCGCUGGAAACGGCGGAUAAAACCGCAUACGCCCGUGUGAAGAGCGCGGGGAAAAGCGCUACGGUGUUACUGGUCGAGGGACCUGCGGCCCAUCAGGUAGUUGGGGAGGUAACGGCUCACCAAGCCGACGACGGGUAUCUGGCGUGAGAGCGCGAACAGGCACAAGGACACUGAGAGACGGGUCCUACUCCUACGGGAGGCAGCAGUGGGGAAUUUUGGACAAUGGGCGCAAGCCUGAUCCAGCGACGCCGCGUGUCGGACGGAGUCCUUCGGGAUGUAAACGACUUUUGAUGGAGACGAAAGGGCAGCUCAGGGAAUGGGGCUGCGAUGACGGUAUCCAAUGAAUAAGCCCCGGCUAACUACGUGCCAGCAGCCGCGGUAAGACGUAGGGGGCAAGCGUUACCCGGAAUUACUGGGCGUAAAGGGAGCGUAGGCGGGAGGUCAAGUCCGGUGUGAAAGUCCCUGGCUCAACCAGGGGAUAGGGCUGGAAACUGACAAUCUUGAGUACAGCAGAGGAAGAGGGAAUUACCGGUGUAGGGGUGAAAUCCGUAGAGACCGGUAGGAAGGCCAGUGGCGAAGGCGCUUUUCUGGGCUGUUACUGACGCUGAGGCUCGAAAGCCAGGGGAGCAAACCGGAUUAGAUACCCGGGUAGUCCUGGCCGUAAACGAUGCUCACUAGGUGUGGGGCACAGAGCGUGUUCUGCGCUGAAGCAAACGCAAUAAGUGAGCCGCCUGGGGAGUACGUCCGCAAGGAUGAAACUCAAAGGAAUUGACGG